rnacentral:rRNA from 1 species
AGGACGAACGCUGGCGGCGUGCUUAACACAUGCAAGUCGAGCGGUAAGGCCUUUCGGGGUACACGAGCGGCGAACGGGUGAGUAACACGUGGGUGAUCUGCCCUGCACUCUGGGAUAAGCCUGGGAAACUGGGUCUAAUACCGGAUAUGACCUGCUCUCGCAUGGGGGUGGGUGGAAAGAUUUAUUGGUGCAGGAUGGGCCCGCGGCCUAUCAGCUUGUUGGUGGGGUAAUGGCCUACCAAGGCGACGACGGGUAGCCGACCUGAGAGGGUGACCGGCCACACUGGGACUGAGACACGGCCCAG